rnacentral:rRNA from 1 species
CAGUAGCCGCGGUAAUACGGAGGGUGCAAGCGUUAAUCGGAAUUACUGGGCGUAAAGCGCACGCAGGCGGUCUGUCAAGUCAGAUGUGAAAUCCCCGGGCUUAACCUGGGAACUGCAUUUGAAACUGGCAGGCUAGAGUCUUGUAGAGGGGGGUAGAAUUCCAGGUGUAGCGGUGAAAUGCGUAGAGAUCUGGAGGAAUACCGGUGGCGAAGGCAACCCCCUGGACAAAGACUGACGCUCAGGUGCGAAAGCGUGGGGAGCAAACAGGAUUAGAUACCCCUGUAGUCCCUGUCUCUUAUAC